AAAAAGACAAACCCUAGGUUUCCGUGUCCAACUUUUGACUCUCCGUCUUAUAUGAAAUUUUUUUAUAAUUAGUAUUUUUAUUAUUGUUAGAUGAUAAAACAUGAUUAAUACUUUGUGUGACUUGUCUUUUUUUAUUUUUUUCAUAAUUUUUUUAAAUAAGACGGACGGUCAAACGUUGGACACGGAAACCCAAGGUUUGUCUUUUU
rfam:Oryza sativa Japonica Group DNA, chromosome 7, cultivar: Nipponbare, complete sequence.